rnacentral:rRNA from 1 species
UGAGUAACCUGCCCUUAACUCUGGGAUAAGCCUGGGAAACUGGGUCUAAUACCGGAUAUGACUCCUUUCAUCGCAUGGUGGGGGGUGGAAAGCUUUAUUGUGGUUUUGGAUGGACUCGCGGCCUAUCAGCUUGUUGGUGAGGUAAUGGCUCACCAAGGCGACGACGGGUAGCCGGCCUGAGAGGGUGACCGGCCACACUGGGACUGAGACACGGCCCAGACUCCUACGGGAGGCAG